rnacentral:rRNA from 1 species
AUGAUAAAUCUGUCUAUGGCCAUACCACCCUGAACACACCCGAUCUCAGAAGCUAAGGGUCAGGCCUGGUUAGUACUUGGAUGGGGAAAAAUGAUAAAUUCAUCUUC